rnacentral:lncRNA from 1 species
GGUCGGCUUGCUUGCUGUCUCGAUCGGAGAAGUUAGCUUGAACUUCAUUGCAUGUCUUCAAGGCGAAAGGGAUGGACAAGGCUGUGCUUGGAUGAUGGCUCUAACAUCGAAUUUGACCUGAAACAAUAUAGAUAAAGAAAGUCGGACAAUGUCCGAUAAGGGAUCAUUUGAGGAUUAAGUCAGAUUUAGCUCUUAGGGACUAGCGAAGAUGUUAUGAAAGUGGCAGAAUGACAGUAUAAUGGGGUC